ensembl:antisense Gm12126 predicted gene 12126
AAAGACUUUGGAAAUCAGGGCUCUGAGCAGCUCAGCCCUGUGUGCUGGCUGAAUGUGAGGCUCCCCAGAGCCCAGAAAAGCUGAGGCCCCAGAAACAGUGCUGGAGGGUGAACAACAUCCUGGCAGAGGGCUGGUCCAGGAACAUAGCCCCAGAUCCACAGUCCGAUUGUUCAGUCCAGAUUCAAGGGCCAUUGGCGGAACAAGGAAGAAGAGGGGCGGGAGAUAAUUGCAUUGAAUUCUGCCAUGGACAUCACGUCUGUGGACUGCUGCACCAGACAGAGAGAAUCUACACAGAACGCCCAGCUUCAGGUUUUAAAAAUAACCCGCUGAGAUCCGCAGUUCUAUUCAGCAGCCUAGAUGCUUCUCAGAGUUUCAGCCUGGCUACUGUUCAACUUCUGUGGACAAUCAGCUGUUUCAGCCUCUCAUCUCCCCCCCCCCUCCCCCAUUUGCCAAGCAACGAUGGUGAUGGGGUGGGAAAGUGCUGUCUGGAGAAAUAAAUCAGCCAACUCUCAGCCCUCUGGAUCUGGUGUUCAUAUCUGUGCCUUCAACUAAACUCAGAAUACGAAGCCAAGCCUAUGCUGGCUACAUUGGUACUGGACUCAUGUAGAUGGUUUCCUGUUU